rnacentral:rRNA from 1 species
UUCGCAAUGCCCGAAAGGGUGACGAAGCGACGCCGCGUGUGGGAAGAAGGCCUUCGGGUUGUAAACCGCUGUUGGGAGUUAGGAGGUGUGGGAGUGUUAAUAGCGCUUCCACUUGACUAAAGCUCCAGAGGAAGCCACGGCUAACUCUGUGCCAGCAGCCGCGGUAAUACAGAGGCGACAAGCGUUGUUCGGAAUUAUUGGGCGUAAAGAGCACGUAGGCGGCUCUGUAAGUCAGCUGUGAAAGCCUUCUGCUUAACGGAAGAACAGCAUCCGAUACUACAUGGCUUGAGUGCGGGAGGGGAGAGUGGAACUUCUGGUGGAGCGGUGAAAUGCGUAGAUAUCGGAAGGAACGCCGGCGGCGAAAGCGGCUCUCUGGCCCAUAACUGACGCUGAGUGUGCGAAAGCUAGGGGAGCAAACGGGAUUAGAUACCCCGGUAGUCCUGGCCGUAAACGAUGGGCACUAAGUAGAGGGGUUUU